rnacentral:rRNA from 1 species
UGGGCGUAAGCGCGCGCAGGUGGUUUCUUAAGUCUGAUGUGAAAGCCCACGGCUCAACCGUGGAGGGUCAUUGGAAACUGGGAGACUUGAGUGCACAAGAGGAAAGUGGAAUUCCAUGUGUAGCGGUGAAAUGCGUAGAGAUAUGGAGGAACACCAGUGGCGAAGGCGACUUUCUGGUCUGUAACUGACACUGAGGCGCGAAAGCGUGGGGAGCAAACAGGAUUAGAUACCCUGGUAGUCCACGCCGUAAACGAUGAGUGCUAAGUGUUAGAGGGUUUCCGCCCUUUAGUGCUGAAGUUAACGCAUUAACCACUCCGCCUGGGGAGAACGGCCGCAA